GGCUUAUUUUUCUACUAAUUGGGAUUGAUUUCUGUUUUUCAACUUUUUAUGUAUUUAGCCAUUUCGUUUUUGUUUCAGCAUGGCUUUAUAUUUCCUCGUACAAUCUAUUGAUAUUCUGAUUGUCAUUUUGGUUCUGCACGUUGGAAAUAAAUAAAUAGUCCUCCCCUAAUCGUUCGAACUAGAUAAAAGUCCUCCUCUAAUAAUUUGAAUGUCGAAAAAUAUUGAUAAAAUUUACAUUAAUCAACAAAUGAGCUAAGCGUAUGAGUAAAACAUCAGUGUUGUUUUAGACACAAUUUUGCAAAAAAAAUAUAAUUUG
rnacentral:lncRNA from 1 species